rnacentral:rRNA from 1 species
GAUGAACGCUGGCGGCGUGCCUAAUACAUGCAAGUCGAGCGAACGGACGAGAAGCUUGCUUCUUUGAUGUUAGCGGCGGACGGGUGAGUAACACGUGGAUAACCUACCUAUAAGACGGGGAUAACUUCGGGAAACCGGAGCUAAUACCGGAUAAUAUUUUGAACCGCAUGGUUCAAAAGUGAAAGACGGUCUUGCUGUCACUUAUAGAUGGAUCCGCGCUGCAUUAGCUAGUUGGUAAGGUAACGGCUUACCAAGGCAACGAUGCGUAGCCGACCUGAGAGGGUGAUCGCCCACACUGGAACUGAGACACGGUCCAGGCUCCUACGGGAGGCAGCAGUAGGGAAUCUUCCGCAAUGGGCGAAAGCCUGACGGAGCAACGCCGCGUGAGUGAUGAAGGUCUUCGGAUCGUAAAACUCUGUUAUUAGGGAAGAACAUCUGUGUAAUUAACUGUGCACAUCUUGACGGUACCUAAUCAGAAAGCCCCGGCUAACUACGUG